rnacentral:pre_miRNA from 1 species
AUAACUUUCGGCCCGUCGGUCUUCCGAGUAAUUUAACCCGCUCGGCAGAAGAUAUUCUCUUUGUCGU